CUCACCUUAGCUCAGUUGGAAGAGCGUGGGACUGUAACUGGAUAUUGCUUUAUCCCGAGGCCGCUGGUUCGAUCCCGGCAGGUGAGA